GGCGGGGUGGCGGAGGGGUACACGCGGCCGGCUGCAGACCGGCUCUACGUGGGUUCGAAUCCCACCCCCGCCUCCA
rnacentral:tRNA from 1 species